rnacentral:tRNA from 1 species
GUCCCCGUCGUCUAGCCAGGCCUAGGACACCGGCCUUUCACGCCGGCGACGCGGGUUCGAAUCCCGCCGGGGACG